AGCACCGAAGCCUGCGGCAGGUUUGCUGCUAGGCAAUGUGGUGUGCGGGUUAGCAACGGCGAGACCGCCGCUCCACUCGAAGUCCAGCAUUGAGUAUGGCUGCCUGUCUCUGUGCGUCCUGUUCCGUUCGCGGGGCGGGGCAGCGGGGAGAGGUGAUAUUGGCCCAGAGAGGGUGAGAGGCCCGUGCGAGUGGAGUAGCAUGCAAGUAAGCGCGGUCUACCUAGCUGACCUCAGAGUCGGGUUGUUUGAGAUUGCAGCCCAAAGUGGGUGGUAAACUCCAUCCAAGGCUAAAUACUGGCACGAGUCCGAUAGCGAACAAGUACCGUGAGGGAAAGUUGAAAAGUACUCUGAAGAGAGAGUAAAGAGCACGUGAAACCGCAUGCAGGUAAACGGGUGGCGUCAAGCUGCUAGCCCGGAGAAUUCAGCUGGCUGGGGUGUAGUGUGCGCGGAGCGCCUGGCGUGGCGCCAGUGGCCGGAAUAAGAUGUAGUUGGCAUUUGGAGAGCCGGGUGGGUGCCGGUGCAUGCCGCUCGUCUGUUGGGCCGACCAGUCAGUGCACUUUCUCCGUGGUGAACACCACGACCGGUGGUAUUGCCAGUCUGCUUGUGCCAAGUCGCGGAUGCCUAGUUGCUCCGUCGUCCGGCUUGUCUGGGCGUGCGUGAGGGGCUAGGUGUGUGCGAUCGCAGGCGAAUGGGACGGCGGCCUCGUGCCGUCGUGCCACCGUCGUAAGCGGUGCGCGCGUUGUGUGCUUCGGUCGCGCGUGCGUGCCGGCGGGCAUGAGUGGUGAAAGGGACUGUGCAAGGCAUCGGAGUUGGCCACCUCGACCGUGAGACAGGUGUCUGAGUGCAUGGGCGGACGUAGCGGCUGCCUGCGGUGUUUCGAGCCUGACCGUGGUGUCGCUCACGAAAAGUGGGCCCUGCGGUGGCAUUCGUGGACCGGCAGUCUGUGUGUAGUGUGCAGUGUGUCUACGUUCGUGGUCCUGCCUUUGGCAUCGGGGGUGGAAGAGUCUGUGGUGCUGUGGUAGACGAGCUACCCGACCCGUCUUGAAACACGGACCAAGGAGUUUAACAUGUGUGCGAGUCAAAGGGUCCUACGAAACCCCUAGGCGCAGUGAAAGUGAAGCCGGCCUCGCGUCGGUGAGGUGAGAUCCCGCCGUUGUGUACUGCUGCUGCAAAGUCGUCGCUGAUCCAGGCGAGAAGGGCGGCGGGCGCAUCACCGGCCCGUCCCAAGGUGUGCACGCAGCUGCAGCCUCGGUUGUAUGCUGUGGGCCAUCGGGGCGGAGCAUGAGCACACACGUUGAGACCCGAAAGAUGGUGAACUAUGCUUGCGUAGGUUGAAGCCAGAGGAAACUCUGGUGGAGGACCGUAGCGAUUCUGACGUGCAAAUCGAUCGUCAAACGUGAGUAUAGGGGCG
rnacentral:rRNA from 1 species